CGCGUAGGCGGGAAUGCAAGUCAGAUGUGAAAUCUAGGGGCUUAACCCCUAAACUGCGUUUGAAACUGUAUUUCUUGAGUGUCGGAGAGGUUGACGGAAUUCCUAGUGUAGCGGUGAAGUGCGUAGAUAUUAGGAGGAACACCAGUGGCGAAGGCGGUCAACUGGACGAUAACUGACGCUGAGGUGCGAAAGCGUGGGGAAGCAAACA
rnacentral:rRNA from 1 species